rfam:Arthrobacter aurescens TC1, complete genome.
ACUUGACGGUGUUGUUGUGUUUGGCAUUUGGUAGUUCAGGCAGUCCCCACGAUCCUUCCGGAUCGUGACUUUCUGAAGUAACUGUGGAGAACACCCCACACCCGGAGACCCGAAAGUCGGGACAAUCUCCACCUUCAGUAAGGACUGAAAAAAUGGCUACAGGUACCGUAAAAUGGUUCAACUCCGAAAAGGGCUUCGGCUUCAUCUCUCCUGAAGAUGGCAGCCAGGACGUUUUCGCUCACUACUCUGCGAUCAACUCCUCGGGCUACCGCUCCCUCGAAGAGAACCAGAAGGUUUCCUUCGACGUCGAGCAGGGCCCCAAGGGUCCCCAGGCAGUAAACAUCCAGGCUAUCUAGUCUUCGGAUAACUAAGAAGCAGGGCCGGUCACUGACCGGCCCUGCUUU